GAUGGUGGUGGGGAUGGCGGAGUUUGUGACGGUAGUGGUAUUUGAACGGCAGCUUGUUGCGGUGGUGCGGGUGGCUGUUCGAAUCUAGACCUACUGAUUACUACAGUAUAGUCUUCUUUUGAUAGGGCAGAAAUUACGACAUGCCCUCUUCGUCGUCUAAUAACAUCGAGUCUCUCUCUCGCCUCUGCCAACCAGACGCCAGCACAUGCGAGUUCGUCUUUAUGAUGCGUCUUUAACGUUUUCUUUCUCCUAUGGUGAUUAUUUAUGUCUUUACAUAAUUUCUCGCAAUCUUCUACAACUAGUUUCCCACUGAAACUAUAUUUUUCUAUCCAGCGAUCUACGUGUUUUGUAUGGGAAUCAGUAUGUUUUUUCUCCAUGAAUUUCUUAUCGCCAAUACCACCUUGUGGUUUAGUUGCCGCUUUUUUAAAUUAAAACAGAAUAUCUCAGACGGGUCAAAUAGAGACACCGGAAAGCAAGCUUCUAGACAAAUGAAAUCUGUCCGGCUUUCCCUGGGUGUUUGUACCACAGAGUCUCUAUCUGUUUUUAGACUGUUAAUCACUUGCUCCAGUCACACUCAUAUUCAUUAAUUAUGGUGAGUUUUUUUUUAUUAAGCAAAAUACUUCUCGAGUCUAUGAAAAAUAUCCGGAGACCGAGCUUCUAGACUGAUAAAUCAAUCCGGGUCUCCCUGGGAAGUUUGUACUCUCAGAUAUUUUCCAAAGUUUUAAUUUUGCUUGAUUACUUAGUCCAGUCACGCACUCAUUCACACAGAUGUACAUCCAUUCACAUAGGCCUAGAACUAGCGCUUUUAAGAGACCUCGAAUCUCUUUUUUUUUUUUUUUUUCCGUUCGUUCAGUAACUUAUGCUACUUACUUCAUACUAUGCUGUGUGUCCAACCUUGCUUCAGAUCCCGUCAGACCAGCCUCCUGGAGGCAGACCCCUUUCUGCCGGCCCACGUAGAAUUCACUAAAUGGGACUUUCUGCCGAUGGCUCUCUCGGCAGGACGUGCACUUGUCUUCGGCUUCCUGAAGUCUGCUCCCAGGCGGUCGGUCUUGUUGGGUUCCGGCUUCGAAAGGACCAAGAAAUGUCAGGGAAAAGACCCUCAACAGUUAGUUAGCAGAUUAAAAACACAAAUCAGCAUGUAAGUGAACUGGACUGUUUUCGAACAGGGCCCCGAUGGAGACAGACACCUUAAGUCUGUCUGACGUGCCAUGCUAAAAACAAGUCCUUUUAUUCAAACACAAUGUUUACACAGUAUGACAGUCAGGACGCUGGGAUGCACUUUAGGGUUACCUGCAGCUCAGCUGAAUUCUACUUCUGCUUAGCAACGAGUCAUUUUACAACCCGCUUUCUCCUUAUUUCAGAAAAACAUCACGUGAGGCAUCUGCUUUCACAUUCUCUGCUCACUCAGUGUUUUUCCAAAAUCAACCUACACACUUUACACACAACAUUUUGAACAAGCCUUUUAGCUAAAACAUUCAUGAUAAAAUAUACUAAUACUUUCUUUAACAUUUUCUCCCUAGGCUAGCUUUGGUGGUGUUCAACUUCUUCUGGUGUGAAGUAAUUCUUCAGCACUGGGUAGGUUAAAGGUUAAAGGUCAUCUCACUCCCUCUCUCUUGUUGUCUCAUCAUUUCUCUCUCCCCACCCGGCUGUUUCACUUCCUCUGUCACUGUACCCUUUACCUCUCUCUCUCUCUUCUCCAUCUCCCCUACCUCACUUCUCAUUUUCUCUCUCUCUCUCUUUCUCCAUCUCUUUGUCUCUCCUUACUCUUGUUUCUUCCCUUUUAUCUCUUUGCAUGCGUCUCUGUCCCCACCCAGGUGUGUGGUGGCGUCUCUCUGUUGACCCUGGCCCUGCAUGAUGACCUGCCCUACCUGCGCAGGUGAUGGAGCAGCUGCUGGUGUCUGAUGGAGCAGCCCAGUAACGCUCAGCCCAAACUGCUGCUGCGCCGCACAGAAUCAAUCGUGGAGAAGCUGCUCACCAACUGGAUGUCCGUCUGCCUCUACGGCUUCCUCCGGGCUACAAAAAAAUAUGUUGUGCUGAACUUCAUUGAAGAGAAUGAAGUGGAGGCAGCACCAUCAAACUGGCUGGAGUGCAGUGAUGGGGUAAGAUUUUUUUUUCUUCAUUUUAGCAAUUCAUGCAGUUAUAAUCAUCUUAAUCUUAGUCAACUCAAAAUAUGAAGUCUGUAAACACAAUUGUUUUCUAAAAAAGAAUGAAAUGUCUCCUCAAAGAAAUAGAUCAGUAAUUGUAUUCUCUCUCUAAAAAAAAUAAUAAUAUAUACGGUAUAUAUAUAUAUAUCAUGUCACAUCAACAUCAAAUGUUACAGAUUGUAUAUUGCUACUGGCCCCAGCGCAACCAUGCCACCCUCGCAAAGCGAUGUGCCCUGCCAGAUAAAGAACUCUGGACAAAAUACUCAGUGUACUCUCUGAAAAGGACACUUAUACUCUGGCAAGACAAAAGGUUCAAAGAGCACAAGAGACCUCUCAUCUUGACGACUCUGAACAAGAAUCCCGGCGGAUUAAGCUCCCGGAAAGAU